rnacentral:lncRNA from 1 species
GGAUCUGAAUGAGGAAACUCUUUAGAUUGUGCUUAAAUGCCACGUGAGAUUUUGCUUUACCUUACAGGCUUUUUGCUCUCUGCUGGGCUCUUGCUCCGGUGGGCACUUACCAUCCUGUAUGCUGUGCAGGCAGUGGGGCUUAGAGCACAGUAGCACGAGCACCGUCAUUGUACAGGUUAUCGUCCGAUGCUUUGAGCCUUUCGUUAACAAAGUGCAGCUUUUUAAACGUUAAUCACUGACAGGAGUCAUCGCAUGAAAAGAAAGGGGUUAUUUUAUAAGCACGGAUCAUUACAUGCUAAUCUCAGCAUGAUGAUGUUUCCUGCAAUGAGGAAAUUGUGUGACUGAGGUCGGUGUGGCGUUGGUGUCGGUAUCGCUUCCUUGAGGUGCGUGGCACACCCAGGGCUGGGACCGAACCCCUGCCGCUGCAUAGCCCUGGGCUGUGGCUACAGGAAGCAUUCGGCCAUACAGAAGCCUAUUUGGUGCCAGGAGCUGGGGGUGAGCAGCGGUGGAGGAAGCUCCAGUGUUGCCCUAGAGCUAUGAGAUGAGCUUCUCUUCUUUGGGGGAACAGUUAAUGGGAGGUCCGGCUCUGCGCACGUCCCCUGGAGCACAGAACAUCUCAUGGAGCAUCUGAAUUGACUCCAUGUAACCACGGCCUUUCCUGCGUUAGGAAGUUUUGCUGCCCAUAGCAUGAAGGGGGAUGGCGUGGUGCACACAGACACCACAUCACCAGUGCUGCUCUGGAGCAGGGUGUGCAUCCCUGGCGUGGCAUGGAUGACAGAGCUCAAACCCAGUGCAGCCCUUAGGUUCCCCCAGUCCCGGGGUCUGAGAAGCUGAACUUAAUCCAGCAGGAGUUCCCCUUCGUGCAGCCGCAGCACCGCCCAGCCUGCCCCCUCUGCGCAUUGCUGGAGUGCCUGCCUGCCUGCCCAGCUAUUUUUGUGCUGCACAUGGGACUGCAGGCAAGUGCUGCUUCUCUAUCGCAGACAGCUGAGAGUUUCCGUGACCUUUGACUAAGAAAUAACUGUAUCUUUCCUUGCAGCCACUCUGCACAACAGGCAGCACAUAAGAUAACAUCAGUAUUACAGUACAAAACCCAUUUUUGGCACAUUGCUUGCUUCGGUGUUGCACUUCUUUCCACUGGCUGUGAAGAGAGAAUAAAUGACACAUGUGGAACA